GACGAACGCUGGCGGCGUGCUUAACACAUGCAAGUCGAACGGUAAGGCCCUUCGGGGUACACGAGUGGCGAACGGGUGAGUAACACGUGGGUGAUCCGCCCUGCACUUCGGGAUAAGCCUGGGAAACUGGUCUAAUACCGGAUAGGACCACUGCCUGCAUGGGUGGUGGUGGAAAGCUUUUGCGGUGUGGGAUGGGCCCGCGGCCUAUCAGCUUGUUGGUGGGGUGAUGGCCUACCAAGGCGACGACGGGUAGCCGGCCUGAGAGGGUGACCGGCCACACUGGGACUGAGAUACGGCCCAGACUCCUACGGGAGGCAGCAGUGGGGAAUAUUGCACAAUGGGCGCAAGCCUGAUGCAGCGACGCCGCGUAAGGGAUGACGGCCUUCGGGUUGUAAACCUCUUUCAGCACCGACGAAGCGCAAGUGACGGUAGGUGCAGAAGAAGGACCGGCCAACUACGUGCCAGCCGCCGCAGUAA
rnacentral:rRNA from 1 species